rnacentral:lncRNA from 1 species
UGGAAAAUCUUGAGGAGGAAAAUCAAAGUUGCAAGGAAGUGGAAAAUCUUGAGGAGGAAAAUCAAAGUUGCAAGGAAGUGGAAAAUCUUGAGGAGGAAAAUCAAAGUUGCAACCAAAAUAUGAGCAUGAGGAAAAUCAAAGUUGCAAGGAAGUGGAAAAUCUUGAGGAGGAAAAUCAAAGUUGCAACCAAGUGGAAAAACUUGAGGAGGAAAAUCAAUUCAAGUUGA